ACAAUCAGUAUUUUGAACAGACCAGAGAGCAAAUGAAAUUCAUCCAAAACAACACUACAUUAGUCUAUUACAAUUGUUACAGUAUAUUACAACCCAGAUGUGCCUACAAUUACAACACAUAAUAUGCUACUCUUUGUUGAUAUGCUUCACAGCUUCAGCCUUGGAUUCACACUUCACCUGUGCAAAGAAUAAGAAUGAAAACAUAAGUAUAAGAAUGUGUACAGAACAUCAAACAGUAGCCAAUGAGGGAUUCAAUAACUUGUACAACAAAUGCAAUGUAGAUAGAUAGUAUGGCUAACACUAACCAGUAUGUGUUCAUGGAGUGACAAAUGUUCUCACUAGCUAGGAUUUUUUCGGUAUAUACUAUACUGACAUGUGCAACUAAAUUGAUCAUAGAAAUGAAAAGUACUGUAAGAACGAGUUCAUUCAGAAUCCAGGCAUGUCAAAUUUUAAGCACCGGCAGAACAGAUCUAAUAAACCAGACCAUAAUCAGCAUGCAUCAGGAUUUAUGGAUACACGCAUCAAGCAUACCAGCUACUACAAUAAGAGGUCCAGAUGCUCGAGGAACUGUAGGGAGUAUGCACCACGGCAGUCGUGCAGUAGCUAGGGAUUGAGGAGGAUGAGCUUGCUCCCAUUUUACCUGGAUGGUAGACAAGAAAACAAGUUAUGGCAGUGUUGUAUCCAUUGUACCUGGGUCAUAUUUAGGUACACAUACCUGGGUCAUAUUUAGGUACACAAUAGCUAAUAUGUCGAUAAAAAGUACUCAGUAGCUACAAUGUAUAUGUUACACGUAUGAACAGAAGAUUCAGCAAAGGCAUGUUGAUGAAACAAUGAAAACAAUGGUAUCCGGU
rnacentral:lncRNA from 1 species